rnacentral:rRNA from 1 species
GAUGAACGCUGGCGGCGUGCCUAAUACAUGCAAGUCGAGCGAACAGACGAGGAGCUUGCUCCUUUGACGUUAGCGGCGGACGGGUGAGUAACACGUAGGUAACCUACCUAUAAGACUGGGAUAACUUCGGGAAACCGGAGCUAAUACCGGAUAAUAUUUCGAACCGCAUGGUUCGAUAGUGAAAGAUGGCUUUGCUAUCACUUAUAGAUGGACCUGCGCCGUAUUAGCUAGUUGGUAAGGUAACGGCUUACCAAGGCAACGAUACGUAGUCGACCUGAGAGGGUGAUCGGCCACACUGGAACUGAGACACGGUCCAGACUCCUACGGGAGGCAGCAGUAGGGAAUCUUCCGCAAUGGGCGAAAGCCUGACGGAGCAACGCCGCGUGAGUGAUGAAGGUCUUCGGAUCGUAAAACUCUGUUAUUAGGGAAGAACAAACGUGUAAGUAACUGUGCACGUCUUGACGGUACCUAAUCAGAAAGCCACGGCUAACUACGUG